rnacentral:misc_RNA from 1 species
GAUGAAGAACGCAGCGAAAGGCGAUAAGUAAUGUGAAUUGCAGAAUUCAGUGAAUCAUCGAAUCUUUGAACGCACAUUGCGCCCCUUGGUAUCCCGAGGGGCAUGCCUGUUCGAGCGUCAUUUCACCACUCAAGCCUGGCUUGGUGUUGGGCGACGUCCCCUUUGGGGACGCGCCUCGAAACGCUCGGCGGCGUGGCACCGGCUUUAAGCGUAGCAGAAUCUUUCGCUUUGGAAGUCGGGGCCCCGUCUGCCGGAAGACCUACUCGCAAGGUUGACCUCGGAUCAGGCAGGGAUACCCGCUGAACUUAAGCAUAUCAAUAAGCGGAGGA